rnacentral:rRNA from 1 species
GAUUAAGUUAUUAAGGGCGCACGGUGGAUGCCUUGGCACUAGAAGCCGAUGAAGGACGUUACUAACGACGAUAUGCUUUGGGGAGCUGUAAGUAAGCUUUG